AGGCAGAGACAUCAACUCCGCAGGUGGCAAAGCACUUGAUGAGACAUGAAAGGAUGAAGGGAGCCAGUACAGCCACAUCACUGCAGGCUGGAUUUGAGUACAUAACCAGAAGCCUGGUGGAAUGCCACUUUGAGAGGGAGGAGAAAGAGCAACAAAAUGACAUAUUUGCAGCAGUAUGUGACAGAAGAUACAUCAAGAUGAAUGCCUGCCUUUUUGUGUUUGCCAACACUAAGAAAGGGAUAAAUCCUUUGAAAGCCCCACUAGGAUUCUCUCCUCAGGCAGACGAUGCCUUCUCUUGGCUGACUGAAGAACUCGGGACACGGAAGGUUUUGCCACAAUAAUAUCUGGUUUCUGGGUGCAGCCUUGAGGAAAUCAUUCUAUUUCUUUCAUAUGGCAAAAGCUCCAGUGUGGAUACAACUUUGUGCCAGUGUCCAGGCACGUGUAAAACAGACCCAGGUAACACAUGGCAAACUUGCCACGAGAGAGAAGAAAGGAAAUGCAGCAUUUUAGUUACAACAAGGACUUGACAGAUGCUGUAUCUGUGGCGCUUGGUAGCUGUUUCAAGAUCAGUGUGGCUUCCUGAGAAACAAGUUUGAGAUCAUGCAGUGGUCCUAUUACCCUCCUGAACUGAUGGCCAAGUACCUACCAGCUUCUGUGUGAAUCACAGCUUUCCCUCCAGCUACCUCCUGCUAAGUUAUCAACCUUUUCCUGUUGAAUGUCUUCAGCAUGGCUCCAGGCUGACCCAGAAUAGCAGGUCACAGUGACAGAUGGACCUUUAGCUAGUGGGAGCUAGAGCCACAGCUGGGGAAAAUGCUGAUGCUAACACACCUAUCAAAAUGUAUUAUUCCCCUUUAGUAGAGAGGCAGUGCACUGUGUAGCAUGAACCUCCAUGUAUUGUAUAUAUGUUUAUUUCUAUCCAUUUACUUACCUGCACUGAAGAGACCUGUUCCAUCCAGACUUUAAGGAAGUUCACUUAAUGAGAUGAAAAAGGUAUGCAAAGAGUAAUGUUCAUACACUGCCAUGUAGUCCUUGACGUGUCUUCUGCAUCUCCAAUACCCCUGGUGCUGAAGGCUGUGUGGAUCUCUGAACGUUUACCCUACCCUGAAUCUGAAUGGGAUCAUGCACCUGAAUCAUAGGAUUUGUGAAUAUCUCAGCCUUAACCCUAACCCAAACCCUAAUGUAAGUGACAUCAUGGAGAUGAGGCCUAUGUCAUGAGCACCAUGUCUGGCCCACAGAAGAAAGGUAUGGAAUGAGUAAUGUUGGUGCUAUCCUGUGCACACCUUCGCAUGCCUUUUGCAGCCCCAGUGUCCCUGGAGCUGUAGGCUUU